AAUAGCAGUACCAUGUUGCCGCAGGCCUCCUGGGUACCUACCACCCUUUGUUUAUUACACUUUGUUGCUUUGGCAAGCCUGCCCUCGGGCUGCUGGCUCCGGCCGGCGAGCGCUUGCCAGAGGACCUAAACUCUGUUUGUCUAUACUGUCUGAGUACUAUAUAAUAGUUAAAACUUUCAACAACGGAUCUCUUGGUUCUGGCAUCGAUGAAGAACGCAGCGAAAUGCGAUAAGUAAUGUGAAUUGCAGAAUUCAGUGAAUCAUCGAAUCUUUGAACGCACAUUGCGCCCCCUGGUAUUCCGGGGGGCAUGCCUGUCCGAGCGUCAUUACAACCCUCAAGCUCAGCUUGGUAUUGGGCCCCGCCGACCCGGCGGGCCCUAAAGUCAGUGGCGGUGCCGUCCGGCUCCGAGCGUAGUAAUUCUUCUCGCUCUGGAGGUCCGGUCGUGUGCUCGCCAGCAACCCCCAAUUUUUUUCAGGUUGACCUCGGAUCAGGUAGGGAUACCCGCUGAACUUAAGCAUAUCAAUAAGCGGAGGAA
rnacentral:rRNA from 1 species